rnacentral:rRNA from 1 species
GUGGGGAAUCUUAGACAAUGGGGGCAACCCUGAUCUAGCCAUGCCGCGUGAGUGAUGAAGGCCUUAGGGUCGUAAAGCUCUUUCGCUGGGGAAGAUAAUGACGGUACCCAGUAAAGAAACCCCGGCUAACUCCGUGCCAGCAGCCGCGGUAAUACGGAGGGGGUUAGCGUUGUUCGGAAUUACUGGGCGUAAAGCGCGCGUAGGCGGAUUGGAAAGUUGGGGGUGAAAUCCCGGGGCUCAACCCUGGAAUGGCCUUCAAAACUCCCAGUCUUGAGGUCGGGAGAGGUGAGUGGAAUUCCGAGUGUAGAGGUGAAAUUCGUAGAUAUUCGGAGGAACACCAGUGGCGAAGGCGGCUCACUGGCUCGAUACUGACGCUGAGGUGCGAAAGCGUGGGGAGCAAACAGGAUUAGAAACCCGAGUAGUCC